CAUGGCUCAGGAUGAACGCUGGCGGCGUGCUUAACACAUGCAAGUCGAACGAUGAAGCCCAGCUUGCUGGGUGGAUUAGUGGCGAACGGGUGAGUAACACGUGAGCAACCUGCCCCUGACUCUGGGAUAAGCGCUGGAAACGGCGUCUAAUACUGGAUAUGUCCCGUCACCGCAUGGUGUGCGGGUGGAAAGAUUUUUCGGUUGGGGAUGGGCUCGCGGCCUAUCAGCUUGUUGGUGAGGUAAUGGCUCACCAAGGCGUCGACGGGUAGCCGGCCUGAGAGGGUGACCGGCCACACUGGGACUGAGACACGGCCCAGACUCCUACGGGAGGCAGCAGUGGGGAAUAUUGCACAAUGGGCGGAAGCCUGAUGCAGCAACGCCGCGUGAGGGAUGACGGCCUUCGGGUUGUAAACCUCUUUUAGCAGGGAAGAAGCGAAAGUGACGGUACCUGCAGAAAAAGCACCGGCUAACUACGUGCCAGCAGCCGCGGUAAUACGUAGGGUGCAAGCGUUAUCCGGAAUUAUUGGGCGUAAAGAGCUCGUAGGCGGUCUGUCGCGUCUGCUGUGAAAUCCCGAGGCUCAACCUCGGGCUUGCAGUGGGUACGGGCAGACUAGAGUGCGGUAGGGGAGAUUGGAAUUCCUGGUGUAGCGGUGGAAUGCGCAGAUAUCAGGAGGAACACCGAUGGCGAAGGCAGAUCUCUGGGCCGUAACUGACGCUGAGGAGCGAAAGGGUGGGGAGCAAACAGGCUUAGAUACCCUGGUAGUCCACCCCGU
rnacentral:rRNA from 1 species